rnacentral:tRNA from 1 species
GCUCCGGUAGUGUAGCGGCCAAACAAGAUAAGGGUCAAGCAUAAGGGGCUCUCGAUCCCUAGACACGGGUUCAAAUCCCGUCCGGAGCACCA